rnacentral:rRNA from 1 species
GAUGAACGCUGGCGGCGUGCCUAAUACAUGCAAGUCUAGCGAACGGACGAGAAGCUUGCUUCUCUGAUGUUAGCGGCGGACGGGUGAGUAACACGUGGAUAACCUACCUAUAAGACUGGGAUAACUUCGGGAAACCGGAGCUAAUACCGGAUAAUAUUUUGAACCGCAUGGUUCAAAAGUGAAAGACGGUCUUGCUGUCACUUAUAGAUGGAUCCGCGCUGCAUUAGCUAGUUGGUAAGGUAACGGCUUACCAAGGCAACGAUGCAUAGCCGACCUGAGAGGGUGAUCGGCCACACUGGAACUGAGACACGGUCCAGACUCCUACGGGAGGCAGCAGUAGGGAAUCUUCCGCAAUGGGCGAAAGACUGACGGAGCAACGCCGCGUGAGUGAUGAAGGUCUUCGGAUCGUAAAACUCUGUUAUUAGGGAAGAACAUAUGUGUAAGUAACUGUGCACAUCUUGACGGUACCUAAUCAGAAAGCCACGGCUAACUACGUG